GAUGAAGAACGCAGCGAAAUGCGAUAAGUAAUGUGAAUUGCAGAAUUCAGUGAAUCAUCGAAUCUUUGAACGCACAUUGCGCCCCUUGGUAUUCCGAGGGGCAUGCCUGUUCGAGCGUCAUUAUAACCCCUCAAGCUCAGCUUGGUGUUGGGGCCUGCCGCACGGGCAGCCCUUAAAAUCAGUGGCGGUGCCAUCUGGCUCUAAGCGUAGUAAUUCUUCUCGCUAUAGAGUCCCGGUGGAUGCUUGCCAUUAACCCCCAAUUUUCUAUGGUUGACCUCGGAUCAGGUAGGGAUACCCGCUGAACUUAAGCAUAUCAAUAAGCGGGGA
rnacentral:misc_RNA from 1 species